rnacentral:lncRNA from 1 species
AUGAACUUCCAGUGCUGCUCUACCAGAAGGAUCAAGGUUCUUGGACCAAGAAGCAUCCCACUCAACAGCUUUUGCUGUGCUACAUGCAACAGUUGGUCCUCCAGGAACAGUUAGCCUUGCCGAGUUCUGCAAAACAAUAUAAAAAAAACAUCAAUAUUUGUAUUAACCCUUGUUAAAUUAUGUUGUCUUAUGGUCUAUGAAGCAUCAACACAAACACAAACACCAAAUACAAACUGAUACCGACACGUAAACACCAGUAAUGAUUUAAGAAUAUAAAAGUGAUUGAAUGUAAUCAUAUAUGUCACCAUCACGUGUCAAAC